AACGUACGCUGGCGGCACGCCUAACACAUGCAAGUCGAACGAAGUAGCAAUACUUAGUGGCAGACGGGUGAGUAACAUGUAGGUAUCUGCCCUUUGGCCUGGAAUAACACGAGGAAACUUGUGCUAAUACCGGAUAAGUCUUUACGGAGAAAGCUUUAUGCACCAUUGGAUGAGCCUGCACUUGAUUAGUUUGUUGGUGGGGUAAUGGCCUACCAAGACUGUGAUCAAUAGCUGAUUUGAGAGGAUGAUCAGCCACAUUGGGACUGAGACACGGCCCAAACUCCUACGGGAGGCAGCAGUGGGGAAUCUUGCACAAUGGAGGAAACUCUGAUGCAGCGAUGCCGCGUGAGUGAAGAAGGCCCUUGGGUUGUAAAGCUCUUUCGUCGGGGAAGAAAAUGACUGUACCCGAAUAAGAAGGUCCGGCUAACUUCGUGCCAGCAGCCGCGGUAAUACGAAGGGACCUAGCGUAGUUCGGAAUUACUGGGCUUAAAGAGUUCGUAGGUGGUUGAAAAAGUUAGUGGUGAAAUCCCAGAGCUUAACUCUGGAACUGCCAUUAAAACUUUUCAGCUAGAGUAUGAUAGAGGAAAGCAGAAUUUCUAGUGUAGAGGUGAAAUUCGUAGAUAUUAGAAAGAAUACCAAUUGCGAAGGCAGCUUUCUGGAUCAUUACUGACACUGAGGAACGAAAGCAUGGGUAGCGAAGAGGAUUAGAUACCCUCGUAGUCCAUGCCGUAAACGAUGUGUGUUAGACGUUGGAAAUUUAUUUUCAGUGUCGCAGGGAAACCGAUAAACACACCGCCUGGGGAGUACAACCGCAAGGUUAAAACUCAAAUGAAUUGACGGGGACCCGCACAAGUAGUGGAGCAUGUGGUUUAAUUCGAAGAUACGCGCAGAACCUUACCAACACUUGACAUGUUCGUCGCGACUCUAAGAGAUUAGAGUUUUCGGUUCGGCCGGACGAAACACAGGUGCUGCAUGGCUGUCGUCAGCUCGUGUCGUGAGAUGUUGGGUUAAGUCCCGCAACGAGCGCAACCCUCACUUUUAGUUGCCAUCAUUAAGUUGGGCACUCUGAAAGAACUGCCAGUGAUAAGCUGGAGGAAGGUGGGGAUGACGUCAAGUCCUCAUGGCCCUUACGUGUUGGGCUACACACGUGCUACAAUGGUAUCUACAACAGGAAGCAAGACUGCGAAGUUAAGCAAAUCCCUAAAAGAUACCUCAGUUCGGAUUGCACUCUGCAACUCGAGUGCAUGAAGCUGGAAUUACUAGUAAUCGUGGAUCAGCGUGCCACGGUGAAUGCGUUCCCGGGUCU
rnacentral:rRNA from 1 species